UGUAUAUAGCUUAGUUGGUAGAGUGCUUGCCUCACAUGUACAAGGCCCUGGGUUCAAUCCCCAGCACCAA
rnacentral:tRNA from 1 species